AGCAGCCGCGGUAAUUCCAGCUCCAAUAGCGUAUAUUAAAGUUGCUGCAGUUAAAAAGCUCGUAGCUGAAUUUCGGGACUGAUAUGUCGGUCGUGCCUCGGUACGUACUGGUAUUUUUGGUUUCUCCCUUCUGACGAACCUUGAUGUCAUUAAUUUGGUGUC
rnacentral:rRNA from 1 species